rnacentral:lncRNA from 1 species
ACGAGAGAGAAAAUAGCUGUUGUAUUCAAAAGUAUGAGAUAGCGUGAAGAUACAAUACACGAGUGCGAGACCUAUUUAUAGAGUACAUGGAAGGGUAAAAUGGUAAAAUCGGUACAAGCGCAUGCGUUUGGCGUGAUCGAAGGGCAUAUCAGGGACUUCGCCUUCACGCGGGAAAUCUCCUGCGUUUCUGGCGAGGAUGACUUUCUCUGGCGAGGAUGA